UCCACAAAUGAGAUCCGCGGGCGGACAAAGUUAAGAACAUGUGAUGUUGUCACUUCACUUGUCGGGCUGGAAAUGACCUGAUGGCCACCCUGCUACGCUCGCUGCUUCACAUCUGGGAGUGGGGAGGGCCUUCCUUCCAUGUAGUCCCACGGUAACACCCCCACCCCUCCCCACACACACAUACACACUUGAUGAAGAGAUAAGUGCGGAAAGUUUGUGUUGUUUCACCCACUCAACGCUUCGCCUCCAGCAAUUAGUCCGCGCCGGCGGGUAGCGUUUACCGCUUAGCAUCACAUCCGAAAAAGUUUGCGUUUGCUUAGUUCAGCAAAACAACCAAAAAAGUCAGCAGAAGCAGGUGUAGAUUCCCAUCAGGCAACUCCCAGAUAAACCACAGAGUGAAGCGCUGCCGUGGGCUUACAGGUGAAACAGCUGCAGGAGGCCAAAAUCAGGAAGCAGACGUUGAAAGCCUGAGGGGCAGAGCGCGGAGCGCCUACAUAGGCGGCGACGGUGUGAAACAAUCUAAGACGACGUACCCAGCAUGCUGGAUGACAAGAGAGUUCCCUCUCCAUCUGUCUGUGUGCGUGACAGUCAACGCUUACUGAGAUGUUUGGUCGGCAAAGGAAAUACAGUCAAACCUGUCUAUAGCGGCCACUAAAAGGAAACGGCAAAAGUGGCCGCUAUAGGCAGGUGGCUGUUAUAGACAGGAAUUUUAUCAGCUGCCACAUUCCCCCAGAAUCUCUCCUUGAAGGACGAGAAAAGCACUCAUGCAGCCCCAGGCCCUGACGCCACAACCACCAAGGGAGCAGAUCUUCAAAAUGUCAUGGUACAUGUUGUCAUUCAUGUUUCCCCUCAAACACAGCUUCCCUAGUGCCGGCAGCACUCAUGCAGUCCCAGGCCAUGAUGCCACAACCAAGGGAGCAGCUCUUCAGAAUGUAACAGUACAUGUUGGAAUUCAUGUUCCCCCUCAAUGAACCACAGCUUCCCCUGUGCCGGCAGCACACAUGCGCCAUGCUUGACUGUAGGCAGACUUCUCCAAAUUAUAUCCCAGUUUACCUUCUACUUGAACUUGAGGUAAUAGACCCUCUUCCUGUUGACAGUGUGUUAGAGUCUUUUGCCAUCACUUCAAUAAACGCUGGAAUCUGAGUCCCCUCAAUCAACACACACGCUUCCCCCUCAAGAUGACCAUGACAACAUUUGAUCUGGAGACGAAAGGGUUCACUAAUAAAAGUCCCCGGAGGAUUAAAACAC